rnacentral:rRNA from 1 species
GCAGUAGCCGCGGGAAUACGGAGGGUGCAAGCGUUAAUCGGAAUUACUGGGCGUAAAGCGCACGCAGGCGGUCUGACAAGUCAGAUGUGAAAUCCCCGGGCUUAACCUGGGAACUGCAUUUGAAACUGUCAGGCUGGAGUCUUGUAGAGGGGGGUGGAAUUCCAGGUGUAGCGGUGAAAUGCGUAGAGAUCUGGAGGAAUACCGGUGGCGAAGGCGGCCCCCUGGACAAAGACUGACGCUCAGGUGCGAAAGCGUGGGGAGCAAACAGGAUUAGAUACCCGAGUAGUCCCUGUCUCUUAUAC